GAGUUCUUUGGAAGCUUUGAUCCGUGAAUCCUUUCUCUUACAAUGUUUCAGCGGCUUCCAGACUCCCAAGACAUCAUCUACAAAUGGACAGGCAAAAGCUCAUUUAUUCAUCUUUGUUUUGGUGAAAUAGGAGAUUGAAGGAGACAGUUUCACAGGAGAAACUCUGACCUGAAAUUCCAAUGGCAUGAAGUCAAAGGAGGGCUGAACACGGCUCCAAAUUAAAUGAGACCCAGAAGACAAAAUAAGUACAUGAAAUCAGUACUACUAGACAUUGUCUUGAACAGGAGAAGAAGGCUACAACAGGGCUAAGGCGUCUGUGGGUGACUGGGAUGUCUCUAUCAUCAAAUGACAAUGGGAAGGAUUCCACACCUAAGCAUCUUUUAUGAAACAUCACUGUAUAAGAGGCUGCCCUUGAAAGUAUGACUCUCCUGCUUCAUUUUCCUGAACUCUGUGACGUGCUCUAUACACUGCCAUUAGAAAUUCUUGGAUUAAAGUAUAAGCCAUGGUUAUUUGAUAUCUGGAGCUACACAGCACAGGACCCACAUCUGAAGAAGAAA